rnacentral:rRNA from 1 species
UACGGGGGGGGGCAAGCGUUGUUCGGAAUUACUGGGCGUAAAGGGCGCGUAGGCGGCCUGCUAAGUCGGACGUGAAAUCCCUCGGCUCAACCAGGAACUGCGUCCGAUACUGGUGGGCUUGAAUCCGGGAGAGGGAUGUGGAAUUCCAGGUGUAGCGGUGAAAUGCGUAGAUAUCUGGAGGAACACCGGUGGCGAAGGCGGCAUCCUGGACCGGUAUUGACGCUGAGGCGCGAAAGCUAGGGGAGCAACGGG